UGUUUAUGACGUCGACGUUAUAAAUACGAUCAACUUAGCUGUUUAAGACGUCGAUAUUCGACGUCAUAGACACGAUCAACUUUGGUGUUAUGACGUCGAUAUUCGACGUCAUAAACACGAUCAACUUUGGUGUUGAUGACGUCGACGUUAUAAACA